CUGGUCCAUCAGUGUUGGUCCCAGGGACGGAUCAAGGUGUCCUGUCUCUCUAAAGGGGACAGUCCUCAGUACAGCUGGACUCUGGAUGGAAAAACACUGACAGACUCUGAACUCCUCUCUGGAAAUCAUCAGACUAACAUCAUCGUUCUAAAACCGUAUAUAUCAGGGCGUCUUUUCUGCUCAGUCAGGAAUCAAGUCAGUUCAUCCUCCAACGAGAUCAACAUUCCUGACUGUGGCUUCAUAUUCAUUAACUGCACCAUCAAUGGGACACUAAUAGCUAAAUGGGUGUAUAAAGAAAAUAACAUCCUGUGUGUUGAACCAACAACUGUCCCUCCAGCAGGUAAACAUCAUAGUGUGGGUCCAUCUGUUUGGCUCAUUUUGGGAUUGCGUGCUUUUGCUGUCAGUCUUCCAAUAAUUCUACUUUGUCUUUAUUUCACUUGGAAGAAAAAGAAAUUAGAAAAAUCU